rnacentral:lncRNA from 1 species
AAAUAUAUAAUUUUUAUAAAGUAUAGGUUUUAGUCUAGUAUUUAUAAAGAUUAGAUCCAUGACUUUGUAUGUAGUAUUUAAAAUUUAAUAUCAGAUAUGUAAUUUAGGGAUUAGAUCCAUGGCUUUGUUAUUGAUGUUUGUGAUGUAUGAAAGGUUUAGAGUUUAGAUAUAUCAAAUAAAAAGUUAAGAUUUAAAAUUUUAAAAUAAACUUUUGUAAGUAAUGGUUAGUAUAAGAUUAGGAUCUUUGAAAUUUAAGAAUUAAUAUAGAAAUAUUAGAUUAGAUUAGUGACUUUGUAUGUUGGAUUUAUGUUUGAGGUUUAGGGUAUUAGAUUUAGAGUAUAGAUUUAGAUUUAGUGUUUGAGGUUUAGAUUUUAAAUUUGAGAUUAGAUUUUUAAAAUGAUCUAAUUUGAGUUUAAGUUUAAGAUUUAUAUUAUAAGUUUGAAAAUAUUAGAUGAAAGGUUUAUGUUUGGAGUGUAGGGUAUUAGAUUUAGGGUGUAGAUUUAAGAUUUAGUGUUUGAGGUUUAUAAUUUAAAUUUGAGAUUAUAUUUUUAAAAUGAUAUUAUGAAAAUAUUAAAAUUUUAAAAUUUAUGUUUAGGGGUUAGGGUUUAAACCCCAAAUUAAUCAU